AGCUUGCUGGCAAGAGUGAUUAAAAUGGAUCAAGAUGCCUUCUAGCUGUGUGUGCUCCAUUUAUUACAAGUCACCACAGAACAGACCUGCCUUUCGAAGAAGCUGACAAAUGGUCCAGGCUAUCAAAGCAGAACCCCAAAAUGAGACCUCUCAGCUGGUGAGCAUGCCUAGUAUCAUCCAGUUGAUGCUGCUGGCAGCAUUUCACAUAUUUUGCUUCACCGGUGCCUUGGUUCGGGGUGGUACCCUCUUUUGAAACCCAUCUGGUUCCAUCUGAAGACUGCAUUGCAGAAUCAUUUUCAAAUAAACUUAACUCCUGGUAAGGGGGAAAUGGGUGAAUGGGAGUGGGUAGCAAUCUAUGCUAUAGGUGAAAAGCUAAGGCAUUCAGUUGCGUAACUGGAUAGGUAGAAGCACAUGUGAUUCAGUGGCAAAUAAUGUUAUUUAUUUGGAACUUAUAGCUUGCCUUUUAUCAUAAGAGUUUGCCAUCCAUGGUGACUAACAAUAAACAAGAUGAAAUAAGAAUUAAUGUGAUUGUGACCUGUUGCCAACUCAUAUUUAUUUUAUUUUUAAAUAUUUGUACUUACAGUUCGCCUUUCACUGAACUGUCUCAGGGAUGGCUGUCCACUUGGUCACUGAAUAUCCCCAUUGAAGCCUCAAUAGAUGACAUUCCCUCACCAUUUGCACUGGUCUUCCCCGCAGUGCUGUUCUUGCCAGGUCUUGCCAGGAUAAUGUGGACAAAGAGUUUUGGAAUCUGCUAAAGCAUACAUAUUUAUUCGUAGGUCACUGUGUGUCCUUCACCUCUUGUUGGGUGAUGUGAAUCAUAUUACGAUGUGCCUUCAAAGAGAGUUCUAUGAAAGCAGCCUCAAAAGAGCUUGAAAUGUGAGGAACGAAAUACAGCGUGUUUUGUAUAUGCCAAGAACGGCAUUUUGCCAAGCUCCAUUAAUGUUGGGACACCUGAUGUUUUAUUAUAUAAAUUUCCAUAGCCCAGAUUUGAAUAAAAGCGAAGUUUUUCAAAAUGUAUGUGCCUAUCUAUCAAAAAUGAAAAUGCCAAUUCCUGCAAGGUUGAAUUCUGAGGAGAGGAGGCUUCAUGAACACAUAGGUCCUCAGACACGCAUAUACCCAGACAAUGAGAUCUCCUAGGAAAUUUUAUUAUUUAACGAAGGACAAAAAAGUACAGACCAAAUGCACUUAGGGUUCCUUAGGCAUGUGCAUUCCAUGUUCUCAUCAGGCCUACACCUCUUUCACCUGCAUAAUCCCCAGCCUAAUAAAUUUAUGCCUGAACACAGUUGUUAUAGCAGGAACCCAAUAAAGGUGCCAACCAUAUUUCCAGAAGGGCAGCCAUCUUUGUUUGCUGCAGCCCAAAACAAUGAAGCAUUCUUGUAGCAUCUUAAAGACGAACCAGUUUAUUGUGGCAUUUGCUUUCCUGGUACUAGAAUUCACUUCAGAUUUCUCAAGCCCAAAUGAAACAAAAGCAAGAUUUUAUAGAACAGAUGUGCCUAUCUAUCUAAAAUAAAUCUGGCCAAUUCCUGACACAACUGAAGUGUGAGGGGAGGAGGCUAAUCCAAGAAAGCAAAGACAUAAAGACAUUAGACUUUUAAGGUGUGUAAAGGAAAUGAACUGCUCUGUUUUAUUGUAGAAUAAUACAAAAUCUUGAUUUGAGGAUUAGGAGGUUAACUUGUUAAGCCUAAACUGUCCAGAGAGCCAAUUGGAAGGAAAAUAAUCAUUGAGAAUGUAGUGCUUUGCUGUUGGGAAGAAGGUGCAGUACUUUUUUGAGGUUUCGUGGAUUGGGAUAGGCAGGAAUUAAUGUAGCUCUAGGCUGUAUCUGCCAGUGACAUGCUUUGAGAGUUAGAUCAAGGUGGCAUCUGAGAAUGGAAGAAUAAAUAACAUAUAGUCAGCCUGGAGGCUGUAUGCAGGACUAUCACACAAUUUUGUAAUCUUAGGGCCUAUAUCAAGAUAGGAAAAGUAGAUUUGUAUUUAAUCCUUUGUUUAUUUGGUCUUCUGUUCCAAGUGGGAGGCAAGCUGUGUAUGCUGUUCCUAUGUUAAAUCU